UUUUUUUUUUGAUUUUCGUGGGAGGUGUUGUCUUCGAUCUCUGUUUCGUUUCUUCUUCCUCUUCCUCUUCCUCUUGUUCUUGUUCUUCUUCUUCUUUUAGGUUUUCUUCUUCUUCUUGCAGGAGAUCUUUCUACCCAAUUUCAACCUCCUCCUCACCUCACCUGAAUUUCACCAUCUUCUCCGGCGAUCGUUACUUCUAAAUUAAUACAGCACCAUCCCCUUUCCCCAUUUCACUUUGUUUUCGGAUUAAUUCCCUCCUAAUUUCUCCUUUUCCGAUCCAAAUGCCGCACAAUUUCGGAGCAUGACGUUUUCUCUUGUAAAUGAUGAGAGCUUCAUUUGGGGCUUUUGACGAAUCAAAUUCUCCUUCUACAUCAACCCCACCUCUCCCUCCUCACGUUUCUCACCCUCCUCUGCCCUACCCCACCAACAGGCAAAGAGUCAGUAAUGUUUUUCAACUUUUAGCCCAGAGGGAGGUUUCACCCCAAACGAAGCGUGCAUCAAGGAGGUUUUGGGGAGAUUCUCAUGACCGCCAAUGUGAUUCGGUUGGGCCAAGAUGUGAAGCAGCUAGAGAUGCUAAACGGGGUCUUAUCUCGUGGGUUGAGGCUGAAUCACUACGGCAUCUUUCAGCUAAAUAUUGUCCUCUUUUGCCUCCUCCAAGGUCGACGAUUGCAGCAGCAUUCAGCCCUGAUGGGAGAACGCUUGCUUCUACGCAUGGAGAUCAUACUGUAAAAAUCAUUGAUUGCCAAACUGGUACCUGCUUAAAGGUGCUGAGUGGUCAUCGUAGAACCCCUUGGGUGGUCAGAUUCCAUCCACUGUACCCUGAAAUUCUUGCUAGUGGCAGCUUGGAUUAUGAUGUUCGACUAUGGGAUGCAAACACUGCAGAAUGCAUUGGCUCGCGUGAUUUCUAUCGUCCCAUUGCGUCCAUAGCUUUCCAUGCCCAAGGAGAACUUCUUGCUGUGGCAUCAGGUCAUAAGCUUUACAUUUGGCACUACAAUAAAAGAGGGGAGACACCCUCACCAACCAUUGUUUUAAGGACACGGCGGUCAUUGCGUGCUGUGCAUUUUCAUCCUCAUGCAGCCCAAUUCCUUUUAACUGCCGAGGUCAAUGAUCUCGAUACAUCAGAAUCUGCCAUAACAUUAGCAACAUCUCCUGGUUAUGUGCAAUAUCCACCUCCUACCGUAUAUUUUGCUGAUGCACAUUCUUCUGAUCGUUCUAGUUUGAUGGAUGGCCUGCCUUUGAUGUCCUUUCCUCUGUUGAUAUGGCCUUCAUUUUCUAAAGAAAAUAGGAGAAUGUCCAUGCAGCGAACGGAAGGAGAUCAUGGUGCAGGGAGAUUACAAAGAGUUGAUCCUUCUGCCUCAGUGCGGCUUUUAACAUAUUCAACACCAUCAGGACAGUAUGAACUUGUGUUGUCACCCAUUGAACCUAAUAGCUCAUCACCAGUUCCAGAAGAAACUGGAACCAAUCAUUAUUCAAGUGAAAUGGAAACAGAAGUUUCAGAAACUGCUGGGGAAGCUUCAGAGAAUAUGGAAGUGCAGACCGAAGUGAGGAAUAAUCAAAAUUUUCCUUUUAAUGACCCUUGGGAACUACCUUUCUUGCAAGGGUGGUUAAUUGGCCAAAGUCAAGCUAGUCAGCAUGCUCUUCGGCCACACAGUGAUGAUGUCCGUGAAAAUUCCUCUGCACCUUCUGAUAUAGGUGGAAUUCAUGCUUCACUUACUUCGUUAAUUCCUACCAGUGCUAGCCAAAGCAGAGUUGGUAGGAGAUCUAGUUCAAGACACCGUUCUAUGCGUUCUCGUGUGCCUGUGCCUGUGAGUGGUUCAGAUGAAGGUGGUAGUAUGAGUAACUCAAUUCCUGAUGAAAGUGAUCCACAGCCUAUUGUCAGUAGAAUUCAAUCUGAGCUUGCUGCCUCUUUGGCAGCUGUAGCAGCUGCUGAGUUGCCUUGUACUGUGAAACUCAGGAUAUGGUCACAUGAUGUUAAAAAUCCUUGUGCUCCACUGGAUGAUGAAAGAUGUCGGUUAAUAAUUCCGCAUGCUGUUCUUUGUAGUGAAAUGGGUGCCCACUUUUCACCUUGUGGGAGAUUUUUGGCAGCAUGUGUGGCAUGCAUGUUGCCACAUAUGGAAGCUGAUCCGGGAUUCCAAAGCCAUGCUAAUAGUGAUGCAACUGGUGCUGCAACAUCACCUACACGACACCCAAUUUCUGCUCAGCAAGUCAUGUAUGAGCUUCGGAUAUACUCUUUGGAGGAGGCAACGUUCGGCGUGGUACUAGCAUCUCGAGCCAUAAGAGCUGCCCAUUGUCUAACAUCUAUACAGUUCUCUCCCACAUCAGAACAUCUAUUACUUGCUUACGGCCGCCGACAUAGUUCACUUCUUAAGAGUGUUGUUGUAGAUGGAGAGACAACUGUGCCCAUAUACACUAUACUUGAGGUUUACAGAGUUUCUAACAUGGAACUUGUGAGGGUUCUUCCAAGUGCCGAGGAUGAGGUAAAUGUGGCAUGCUUUCAUCCCUCCGUGGGAGGUGGUGUAGUCUACGGGACUAAGGAGGGGAAGUUGAGAAUCCUCCAAUACGACAGUUCCCAAGCCAUUAAUCAUUCAACGUAUGGUUUUCUCGAUGAAAAUAUGCUUGAGGUUCCAACGUAUGCCCUAGAAUGCUAGUAAUUGUCGAUCAUAACAUGAGAUUCGGCGCAGCUUGACUGGUCAAACACCUAAAGUAGAAUCUGGAAACAAUUGAAGCUCCAUUUACAUUUCAUAUAAAUGUCAAUAAAAUGUGAAUAGUCUUGAUUCUCAGCUAUACGAAACAGAAUUAUGAUUCAGGGUGGAUGUGCUUGCGUGUGCUUUUCAAUUAGGCUCAGAGCAAAGCUGAACAGAUCGAUCCAUCAUUUACUCAGUAUUACUGCAAAUCUACCAGAGGCAUGUCAAAAUUCAGUUUGGCGCACCAUUGUUGUACAAGCUUGUAUUUUUCUGUUUGUAAUUUAAAAACUGUUAUGGUGCUUACUCAAUUUGAUCUUUACCUGGAAUUACAUAUACAGAUAUUAAAAAAAAAAAAAAAAAAAAAAAGCAAAUUUCAAGGUCGUGAUUAUUGUAUGUGCUUUGUUUUGCCUUUAAUUCCAGACUUUUGAUUUAAAUUUGAUGGA